rnacentral:rRNA from 1 species
UACGUAGGUGGCAAGCGUUGUCCGGAAUUAUUGGGCGUAAAGCGCGCGCAGGUGGUUCUUUAAGUCUGAUGUGAAAGCCCACGGCUCAACCGUGGAGGGUCAUUGGAAACUGGGGAACUUGAGUGCAGAAGAGGAUAGUGGAAUUCCAAGUGUAGCGGUGAAAUGCGUAGAGAUUUGGAGGAACACCAGUGGCGAAGGCGACUAUCUGGUCUGUAACUGACACUGAGGCGCGAAAGCGUGGGGAGCAAACAGGG